GCCGCCAGGCGACGGCCAGGGCCGGGCCUCCCCUGCCCACCGUGCGCUUCUCCGGCGCCGCGGGCCUCAGCGGGGGCCUGGGGAGGACGUGACAGGGCUCCGCACGAGGCGGCCUCUGGGGAACUGGGGUCCGGGGAGACCCAGGCUUCACUCUCCGCCCGCCGGGACCCUCGGAGGCGCCUCCGCGUGGUCAGGCAGCGUCGGGGCGCCGUCGCUUCCCCUCUCCCUUUUCCCGCGAGGAAUCUUCCGAUAAUUCUGCCGCCACCACUUUGACUGCGCGCGAGGCGAGCUCGAAACAAACAUCACAUCUAAAUUAAAAAAAAAAAAAAAAGAAGCGGAA